ACCGGGAUGAGUACCGACCAGUCACAAUGCACAGAAGCACAUGCAUUGGAAUAAGAUUAAUUAUAAAGGUGUACCCUCCCCACGAGCAAACCAUGUAGAAGUAUGCCAAGGCAUUUAAAGUCGCAUAAAAGAGGGAUCCUGUAUUCAAUGUCUUUAUAUAAAGAUAGAAAGUGAAUAUUAAAGCAAAUAUAGCUACAGCUUCAUUAUCAUAGCUGCCAGCCACUGAUCGAGAUAUAUAUGAUGGAACCAUGGCCAAAAGAGCCGCUGCAGUCAGACCAGCGCCAGCACCUUUAACUUCCUUGGUCAAAAGAUAAGUGGCCCAUGAAGCAAA
rnacentral:misc_RNA from 1 species